UACGGAAGGCAGCAGUGGGGAAUAUUGCACAAUGGGCGAAAGCCUGAUGCAGCUAUGCCGCGUGUAUGAAGAAGGCCUUAGGGUUGUAAAGUACUUUCAUCGGGGAGGAAAAACAAAACUAAUAAUUUUAUUUCUUGACGUUACCCGAAAAAGAAGCACCGGCUAACUCCGUGCCAGCAGCCGCGGUAAUACGGAGGGUGCUAGCGUUAAUCAGAAUUACUGGGCGUAAAGAGCACGUAGGUGGUUUUUUUAAGUCAGAUGUGAAAUCCCUGGGCUUAACCUAGGAACUGCAUUUUGAAACUGAAAUACUAGAGUAUCGUAGAGGGAGGUAGAAUUCUAGGUGUAGCGGUGAAAUGCGUAGAUAUCUGGAGGAAUACCUGUGGCGAAAGCGGCCUCCUAAACGAAUACUGACACUGAGGGUGCGAAAGCGUGGGGAGCAAACAGGGAUUAGAUA
rnacentral:rRNA from 1 species